GCUCAAAAGUUUGCAUACCCUGGCAGAAAUGGUGAAAUGUUGGCCUUUAUUUUGAAAAUAUUAAAUCAUAAUGGUAACAGAAAUCACCCAAAUGGCCCUGAUCAAAAGUUUACAUACCCUUGAAUGUUUGACCUUGUUACAGACACACCAGGUGACUCACACAGGUUUAAAUGGCAAUUAAAGGUUCAUUUCCCACACCUGUGGCUUUUUAAAUUUUAAUUAGUGUCUGUGUAUAAAUAGUCAUUGAGUUUGUUAGCUCUCACAUGGAUGCACUGAGCAGGCUAAAUACUGAGCCAUGGAGAGCAGAAAAGAACUGUCAAAAGACCUGCGUAACAAGGUAAUGGAACUUUAUAAAGAUGGAAAAGGAUAUAAAAAGAUAUCCAAAGCCUUGAAAAUGCCAGUCAGUACUGUUCAAUCACUUAUUAAGAAGUGGAAAAUUCAGGGAUCUCUUGAUACCAAGCCAAGGUCAGGUAGACCAAGAAAGAUUUCAGCCACAACUGCCAGAAGAAUUGUUCAGGAUACAAAGAAAAACCCACAGGUAACCUCAGGAGAAAUACAGGCUGCUCUGGAAAAAGACAGUGUGGUUGUUUCAAGGAGGACAAUACGACGAUACUUGAACAAAAAUGAGCUGCAUGGUUGAGCUGCCAGAAAGAAGCCUUUACUGCAUCAAUGCCACAAAAAUGCCCGGUUACAAAAUGCCCGACAACACCUUGACACGCCUCACAGCUUCUGGCACACUGUAAUUUGGAGUGAUGAGACCAAAAUAGAGCUUUAUGGUCACAACCAUUAGCGUUAUCUUUGGAGAGGGGUCAACAAGGCCUAUAGUGAAAAGAAUACCAUCCCCACUGUGAAGCAUGGUGGUGGCUCACUGAUGUUUUGGGGGUGUGAGCUCUAAAGGCACGGGGAAUCUUGUGAAAAUUGAUGGCAAGACGAAUGCUGCAUGUUAUCAGAAAAUACAGGCAGACAAUUUGCACAUGGGACGCUCUUGGACUUUCCAGCACGACAAUGACCCUAAGCACAAGGCCAAGUUGACCCUCCAGUGGUUACAGCAGAAAAAGGAUUGUCUUUCCUGUGAAGAAAACAUGAAAUGCUGCCUUCAAAUUUGACCAAAAGAAGGUAUCUAAAGGCAGCAGCUUAUGCUGCCUUCCUUUUGAACCAGCCUUCGCUUCAGGAGCACACCCUUGACACCUAAAAAUGCUGCCAAGGUCCCUUCUAACGUCCUGUCCUUACAAUUUCCACCGCCUGCAGACUGUCUCCCAAAUUAUCCAUCUAUUUCUCUAAGGAAUGGAGGUGAGGGAUAAACUGGCACAGAAACAGCCACCAGAAUCCAACUCCCCCCUUGUUUCUCCUCCUCUCUUUGAACGGACUCGAUGCUGUAUGAGAAGCUCCUCCUUCCGGCUGCUCGCUACAGCAGGCAGGGAAACCCACAGACUCAUGUAGGAGUGUCAACACAUGUUUUUUUUCUUUCUCUCCAUCUCUCUCUCUCUGCCCGUUGCUUUUCUCGCUUGCUCCCACAGUUGUCUUCCAGGCUUGCUGUCUGAUUUUCAGAGGGGAGAGAUGGAAAUAGAGCAGGAUUCCAAAUGAAAGCUCUGUGCUCCAGGUCCUGGCAAUGUGACUUCACACCAUUCUUGCUGGCCGAGUCAUCGCAGCCUACGCUACGCUAUGAGGCUUUACACAAACGAACACACGCCGAGAGCUUUUCCUGACUGUCAUUGAUAAAGAUGUAUGAGGGACAAGGUUGUAUCACCUUGUCGGUGUCUCAUCCUGUGUGAAAAAUAUGCCAAGAUCGGAGGACAAAAGCCACAAGUUAGCACUAUCUGUUGAAAAGAGUGUGUUACUGAAGUAUACUUGAAUAAAGAAUCUGUGUUGUUAGCGGUGCUUGCAAAGGCAAGGUUCACUUUUACUUUUGCUCAUGAUUGUGGUUUGAGGUUUGAUGUAACUUAAUUCGCACUAUUUGUGCUACAAACAUGAAUGAUAUCUCGAAUUGUGCAGCUUACUGAGAAGUGUGUUUGUACUUCCCUAAUUGAUCAGACUUUGUAUUUGUGUGUGAUGGAAAUGAAAAGAUAAUACACUUUUUUUUUAUUGAAGGAGGGACCCAAGUCAUAUCUAGGGACCAGAAUAUCAUAGGGGUGGGCUUUAUUGACUUGGGCCAGCAAGAAACCAGCUAGCACUGGCCCAGAACACCAUAGCAACCGCAUAGUAACAUCCUGGCAACCACCUAGAGCACCAUUACAUCAUGGCUGCGAGUUUUGCAAAGGCAGGCACCACUCAUUUAAAAAAAAUUUAAAAAAAAUAAAUAAAUAAAAUGACAAUUUUGAUUAUAUACAGUCAUUCUGGCACUACUAAAAUACACAAAAAUAAGUCUUGACUUGGUAAAAAUAUCGAUUUUAUGAUUAAUUAUGAUAUACAUUUGAACGAUCCCAAUAUUGAUAGUUAAAAUCCCAACAUCGAUCUUUUACUUUAAAAUUUCCUUCAGUUUUGGUUGUGUUGACUAUCAUACCUGAUAAAUAUAUUGCAACAGAACUACACAGUUUUGGCCCUGUUUUAUUUUUUUGUAUUAAUAUUUUCGUAAUGUACCAGAUUACAAGGUUCCCUGUAGAAUUUCUUUCAUAGGUAAGCAAAGUGGAUUAUAUAACUGAAAUAUACCCAAAUUAAUUGGUAACAAAAUCAAAUCUAAAUCAGAAUCAAAUCAAGAGUAUGUGAAUCGGAAUUGAAUCAAAUUGGGAAUUCUGUAUCGAUACCAAGCCCUAAAAGGGCAGGGGGCAGCCUGAAGACAUUACAGAAGCAUCGUUACUGAACAUUACAUAAAGGAUUCAACGCUAGGGACGUGUCUGAGGCCUGUUAUUUUAUGUUGGUCUCUCUAACAAACGUUAAUGAAGUUAAUGGCUCCUGCGCAACAGAGUCUGCCAAGUGGUUGGCAAGAGUGCACCUCAACCAAGUCAGACAGGAGGUACUUGACAUUCUUAAAUUAGAAAAGGAUGACUGACGAUAAACAAAUAAUUGAUGCGCAUCCUCUGUAUUUUAGAGUGUUUUUCAUUUAGUUAUAAGCAAAAAAAAAUAAAAAAUUAAACUAACAAGCAGAUAAAGUUUACUGAACCCUAACCCUUUCUUUCACCUUGUUAAUCAGUUUUUGUAGUAUCUUUCCCACGCACUUUUAUAAUCGAGCUACAGUGGGUGUUUGCAGAGUUGAGCUACAGUCUUCAUCCAUCUGUACAAGUACACAUGACAAAGCGUAAUCAAAUAUUUGAAGGAAGGACAACAAAUACAGCAGGUAUUAGCUUUUUUCUGGUCACAAAAUGUAUCAAGGUAAAUAUAUAUAUCUAUAUUUUUUUUUUUUUUUACUGAAAAUUGAUGGAGCAACAUCAUUUGUGUGAAAAGAAAUAAUAAUGGAAGGUUGUUUCGAUUAAAAUUCUUUCUUUUCUUUUUUUUUUUUUUUUUUUUUAAAAGGUGGUGAGGGAACAUUUUACCCCACAUCUGGUGUAAAAGUCUCCCUCACUUGGGGUAAAAGGCCCCUAUGGGGUUUAUAGUGAUAUCAUGUAGAUACCGGGGCAAUAGUUAAAGGGCAAAAUUAGUCAACUAAUGCAAAUAAUUUUGAGACAGCAAGAUGCUUUUUUGAGUAAGAAAUUAAGAUAAUACUUACUCAAAAUAACUACUUCAGAAAAAGUCAACCAUAAAAAUUGUGUUUAACAGGUGCCUUUAACCCCUGCAACAGUGGGGCUUUCACCCCAAAACUAUCCUUUCAGUUAUUGGACAAUUACUGAAAAAUGUUUGAUUUAAUGACCUUAAACAAAAGUGAAAAUGUUAAAUUAGUAUUAUGUCUCAAAUGAUAAUUUCAGGGAUUUUCAUUAGCCACAUAAAUUUGCGUUAUUUAAAAAUAAAUAAAUAAAAUUUAGAUCAAAUUGCCACAAAAUCAACCUUUCGACACCACACAAAGAUCUCAUGGAUCUGAAAUAUUCUGCAGUGUAUAGUGACAAACAGGUGUUUAGGAAAGUGCUUUGGUAGUUUUUGUUGCUAUUUAGUGUUUUGGUAGAAAAUCAAAUCAAUGGAGCCUUUUACCCUGCAGAGUCUUUAGCCCCGUUGUACCCUAAUACAUGUUGCAUGGGUAGCUUUUAUAAUGUGAUGCCUGAUUAGGACACAGUUAGAUUAUGUAUAUCUGGAGAUGUGUGCAUCAGUCUGUCGCAAUCGUGCCACAGGCCAAAUGAACAGUCCGGGCCACUCAGACUUCAUUAUGGCAAAGCUAUUUGAUCGAUUUCAUGCCUGGCUCGCACUAUUUCAUCACAAACACAAAAACACUAAUACCUACAGAUAAGUAGGAUAUGCUAAUACACUUUGCCAGUCUCUUCUACGGGACACCUGUCGUGUAGGUAGAGCUCGUUGAGAGAGCUCAGUUACAGCCAGCAGAACAAAAACAGGUUACCUGAGCAACCUCCCUGCACAUCCCUCAUGUGACGUUACGGCAUUAACAGACCUCCCGGUGGAUCUACCUUAGCACUGAAAACUACCAAUAUACUCAAAGGGAUAGUUCGUCUAAAAAUGAAAAUUCUGUAAUUUUCUGUUUGAAUUGCUAUGAAAGUGAAAGAUGACCGUGGCUGACAUCUCUGGAGCAAUGCUAAUCAAUCGGAAUAUUUUAUUGAUACAUAUCUAAUGCUCGGAAUGGAGCGUGUUUGUCUAUUAUUUUGGCACGUAUGUAUCCCUCAGUGUGUGCGCAAUGCGAUCGUAAAUGCGUCACCCGAGACUACAAUUCUGUGUCACCUGCCUCUCUCUCUUUCUAACCUCUGUCUCUCUUGAGGACAGUACUGCACUUCUCCAUCCCUCUGUCAACACACAGAGCAAACAGACACUGCCCAUGGUCUCACAUAUACACAGCUCCGAGUCACCCACACGCAGUGAGGCGCACACACACACACACACACACACACACACACACACACACACACACAAGCCAUUGGCUAGGAUACAAGUGUGACAUGACAACCUGACAGAGUAUGAGACAGGAUGAAGAAUACUGUGGCUGCCAAACUGUUCAUGCUUGUUGCAUGUCUGACAUGGAGUGGAAUAUGUUUCAUUCGCUUAUGUUGAAAUUUUAGUAUGAGAAGGCAAGUGAAAGUAAUAGAGGAAGUGUAUGUAUAUAAAAGGCUAAUUAUAAUAUCAUAGUGUAAGUUUAGGUCUUUCUUUUUUCAUUCUGUUUUUAAUUUAACAUGCUUUAAGUGUGAUAAUAUCAGGGAUUUACCAGCAUUCUGCUUUCACCGGAUUACAGGGUUAUCAGUGUUGUCGUCAUGACAACAAAAUUGUUAUAUUGUAAAUAUAAGUUCACGCAAACAGUAUUAGUAAGCAAUUUUAUCACACUAAAAUCAUGUUAACCUGUAUAUUGUUUAUGUCUUGUGGCUAUAAUUUUAACAUUUGUAUUUUAGUGUUUUUGGACUGGCCUCAUUCAUUUCUAUUGUAAGUGCCUUACUGUAGCUGUGAUUUUUGCAUCUUUAUAAUUAAA